rnacentral:rRNA from 1 species
GACGAACGCUGGCGGCGUGCCUAACACAUGCAAGUCGAGCGAUGAAGCCCUUCGGGGUGGAUUAGCGGCGGACGGGUGAGUAACACGUGGGUAACCUGCCUCAAAGAGGGGGAUAGCCUCCCGAAAGGGAGAUUAAUACCGCAUAAUAUUAGUUUUUCGCAUGAAGAACUAAUUAAAGGAGCAAUCCGCUUUGAGAUGGACCCGCGGCGCAUUAGCUAGUUGGUGAGGUAAAGGCUCACCAAGGCGACGAUGCGUAGCCGACCUGAGAGGGUGAUCGGCCACAUUGGAACUGAGACACGGUCCAGACUCCUACGGGAGGCAGCAGUGGGGAAUAUUGCACAAUGGGCGAAAGCCUGAUGCAGCAACGCCGCGUGAGUGAUGAAGGCCUUCGGGUUGUAAAGCUCUGUCUUUUGGGACGAUAAUGACGGUACCAAAGGAGGAAGCCACGGCUAACUACGUGCCAGCAGCCGCCGUAAUAC